AGCCAGCACCAUAGCAGCCUGAAGGCACCCCAGCCCAGAGGCUAAGCAGGGUCAGGCUUGACUGGGGCUUGGAUGGGGGACCACCUGGGGAGACCAAGAGCUGGAGGCUU
rnacentral:rRNA from 1 species